GUAGUAGGCAUGGCCGUUGGUUGAUAAUUCUAUCAUACCGUCAACUCAAGUCAUCCGCUAUUUACCAAUAGUGGCCGAAUACUAAUCGGUCACCAACUAUAAGUCGGUAAAGUUUAUUUAAUUGGUUGAUGAAGAGUCGGAACUGUCUGUUUGGCCGAUGAUCAGUCGGAGUCGUAUGUUUGGUCAGUCGGCUAUUGUCGAGUCAAAGUAGAGAGUCGGUUGGCCUG
rnacentral:lncRNA from 1 species